rnacentral:rRNA from 1 species
UACGUAGGGUGCAAGCGUUGUCCGGAAUUAUUGGGCGUAAAGAGCUCGUAGGCGGUCUGUCGCGUCGGCUGUGAAAACCCGGAGCUCAACUCCGGACCUGCAUCCGAAACUGCCCGACUAGAGGUAGAUAGGGGAGAUCGGAAUUCCUGGUGUAGCGGUGAAAUGCGCAGAUAUCAGGAGGAACACCGGUGGCGAAGGCGGAUCUCUGGGCCUUACCUGACGCUCAGGUGCGAAAGCUAGGGGAGCGAACAGG